GGGGCAAAGUAAGUCCCUUAAUAACCCACAAUAAACAAAAGGAGCUCUGGUGGCUCAGCAGACUAAAGCACUGUUAUUAACAUCCACUUACAUCUGCUGCCUGCAAUUACUGCAAGUUCAAAUCUCACGAGGCUCACUCAUCCUUUCUAAGAAAGAAGCUCUCUUUGAAUUUCUCCAGAUGAUGAAGACUCAGUCAUGUUUGGCCAUGCAUCAUCACUGUUUGUAAAUUGGACAGCAUUAUCAUGUUCUUUAUAAAUGGAUUGGACAGAAUGUGACUCAUGACCCAACUAGUGAAGCUUUUAGUCACCUUGAAUUAUAAAUUCUUCUUGAAGGACCACUAGGUUCAGAUGUUAGCAAAAGGAGAUUCAUUCAUAAGGAAAUGUAUCAUCACCUUCACUAUCUAAAUAAGGCUUAAGUAGGGAUUAAUUAAGUGUCUGAAAUUACCUUUUGUGCUGGUGUGAAUUUCACUGUACAUUAAUUUUAACUAGGAAGAAUGCAGGCUAAUAAAUCUGAACACUAAAAAUU